UGUGUUAGCCAGGAUGGUCUCGAUCUCCUGACCUCGUGAUCUGUCUGCCUCGGCCUCCCAAAGUGCUGGAAUUACAGGCGUGAGGCUGGAGGAUCACUUGAGCUCAGGAGUUUGAGACCAGCCUGGGCAACAUGGCGAAAUCCCAUCUCUACUAAAAAUACAAAAAUUAGCCAGGCAUGGUGUUGUGCACCUGUAGUCCCAGCUACUGGGGGCAAUAACCCUACAAAUGACUCUGUAACUCUUAUUAGGGGCAGUAUAUCCUCUGCUUUGCAGGUCCAGAAACUCGAUUGUGUCUGUUCCUCCAGAGGUGAUUAGGCUCUGAGAGUGAUGACUCAUCC
rnacentral:lncRNA from 1 species